CGCGAUACAGGGUGACAGCCCCGUACACAAAAGCGCAUGUGUUGUGAGCUCGAUGAGUAGGGCGGGACACGUGGUAUCCUGUCUGAAUAUGGGGGGACCAUCCUCCAAGGCUAAAUACUCCUGACUGACCGAUAGUGAACCAGUACCGUGAGGGAAAGGCGAAAAGAACCCCGGCGAGGGGAGUGAAAAAGAACCUGAAACCGUGUACGUACAAGCAGUGGGAGCACAGGUUUACCUGUGUGACUGCGUACCUUUUGUAUAAUGGGUCAGCGACUUAUAUUCUGUAGCAAGGUUAACCGUAUAGGGGAGCCGGAGGGAAACCGAGUCUUAAUUGGGCGUUAAGUUGCAGGGUAUAGACCCGAAACCCGGUGAUCUAGCCAUGGGCAGGUUGAAGGUUGGGUAACACUAACUGGAGGACCGAACCGACUAAUGUUGAAAAAUUAGCGGAUGACCUGUGGCUGGGGGUGAAAGGCCAAUCAAACCGGGAGAUAGCUGGUUCUCCCCGAAAGCUAUUUAGGUAGCGCCUCGUGAAUUCAUCUCCGGGGGUAGAGCACUGUUUCGGCUAGGGGGCCAUCCCGGCUUACCAACCCGAUGCAAACUGCGAAUACCGGAGAAUGUUAUCACGGGAGACACACGGCGGGUGCUAACGUCCGUCGUGAAGAGGGAAACAACCCAGACCGCCAGCUAAGGUCCCAAAGUCAUGGUUAAGUGGGAAACGAUGUGGGAAGGCCCAGACAGCCAGGAUGUUGGCUUAGAAGCAGCCAUCAUUUAAAGAAAGCGUAAUAGCUCACUGGUCGAGUCGGCCUGCGCGGAAGAUGUAACGGGGCUAAACCAUGCACCGAAGCUGCGGCAGCGACACUGUGUGUUGUUGGGUAGGGGAGCGUUCUGUAAGCCUGUGAAGGUGUGUCGUGAGGCAUGCUGGAGGUAUCAGAAGUGCGAAUGCUGACAUAAGUAACGAUAAAGCGGGUGAAAAGCCCGCUCGCCGGAAGACCAAGGGUUCCUGUCCAACGUUAAUCGGGGCAGGGUGAGUCGACCCCUAAGGCGAGGCCGAAAGGCGUAGUCGAUGGGAAACGGGUUAAUAUUCCCGUACUUGGUGUUACUGCGAAGGGGGGACGGAGAAGGCUAUGUUGGCCGGGCGACGGUUGUCCCGGUUUAAGCGUGUAGGUGUGUGUUCCAGGUAAAUCCGGUUCACUUUAACACUGAGGCGUGACGACGAGGCACUACGGUGCUGAAGCAACAAAUGCCCUGCUUCCAGGAAAAGCCUCUAAGCAUCAGGUAACAUCAAAUCGUACCCCAAACCGACACAGGUGGUCAGGUAGAGAAUACCAAGGCGCUUGAGAGAACUCGGGUGAAGGAACUAGGCAAAAUGGUGCCGUAACUUCGGGAGAAGGCACGCUGACACGUAGGUGAAGUGAUUUACUCAUGGAGCUGAAGUCAGUCGAAGAUACCAGCUGGCUGCAACUGUUUAUUAAAAACACAGCACUGUGCAAACACGAAAGUGGACGUAUACGGUGUGACGCCUGCCCGGUGCCGGAAGGUUAAUUGAUGGGGUCAGCGCAAGCGAAGCUCCUGAUCGAAGCCCCGGUAAACGGCGGCCGUAACUAUAACGGUCCUAAGGUAGCGAAAUUCCUUGUCGGGUAAGUUCCGACCUGCACGAAUGGCGUAAUGAUGGCCAGGCUGUCUCCACCCGAGACUCAGUGAAAUUGAACUCGCUGUGAAGAUGCAGUGUACCCGCGGCAAGACGGAAAGACCCCGUGAACCUUUACUAUAGCUUGACACUGAACAUUGAGCCUUGAUGUGUAG
rnacentral:rRNA from 1 species